GACGAACGCUGGCGGCGUGCUUAACACAUGCAAGUCGAACGAUGAAGCCCUUUCGGGGGUGGAUUAGUGGCGAACGGGUGAGUAACACGUGGGUAACCUGCCCUGUACCCUGGGAUAAGCCUUGGAAACGAGGUCUAAUACCGGAUAUGACCUGCUCUCGCAUGGGGGUGGGUGGAAAGUUUUGGCGGUGCAGGAUGGACCCGCGGCCUAUCAGCUUGUUGGUGGGGUGAUGGCCUACCAAGGCGACGACGGGUAGCCGGCCUGAGAGGGCGACCGGCCACACUGGGACUGAGACACGGCCCAGACUCCUACGGGAGGCAGCAGUGGGGAAUAUUGCACAAUGGGCGAAAGCCUGAUGCAGCGACGCCGCGUGAGGGAUGACGG
rnacentral:rRNA from 1 species